rnacentral:rRNA from 1 species
GACGUAGGGGGCCAGCGUUGCUCGGAAUUACUGGGUGUAAAGGGUUCGUAGGCGGUGUGGCAAGUCGGGAGUGAAAUCUCUGGGCUCAACCCAGAGUCUGCUUCCGAAACUGCUGUGCUUGAGUGUGGGAGAGGCGCGUGGAAUUGCAGGUGUAGCGGUGAAAUGCGUAGAUAUCGUAAGGAAGACCAGUGGCGAAGGCGGGUCUCUGGACAGUUCCUGACGCUGAGGCACGAAGGUCAGGGGAGCAAACGGG